rnacentral:tRNA from 1 species
CCAACCUUAGCUCAGUUGGUAGAGUAGAGGACUGUAGUGGGAAGCAUUUCAGAGAUAUCCUUAGGUCGUUGGUUUGAAUCCUGUAGGUCGGA